AUGGCGCGUACAGAGGGCUGCAAGCUAGCGAUAGUGAGCGAAUCCCAAAAAGCGCGUCGUAGUCCGGAUCGGAGUCUGCAACUCGACUCCGUGAAGUCGGAAUCGCUAGUAAUCGCGAAUCAGAAUGUCGCGGUGAAUACGUUCCCGGGCCUUGUACACACCGCCCGUCACACCAUGGGAGUGGGUUGCACCAGAAGUAGAUAGCUUAACCUUCGGGAGGGCGUUUACCACGGUGUGAUUCAUGA
rnacentral:rRNA from 1 species